rnacentral:rRNA from 1 species
UACGUAGGGUGCAAGCGUUGUCCGGAAUUAUUGGGCGUAAAGAGCUCGUAGGCGGUUUGUCACGUCUGCUGUGAAAACUGGAGGCUCAACCUCCAGCCUGCAGUGGGUACGGGCAGACUAGAGGUGCGGUAGGGGAGAUUGGAAUUCCUGGUGUAGCGGUGGAAUGCGCAGAUAUCAGGAGGAACACCGAUGGACGAAGGCAGAUCUCUGG